AACGAACGCUGGCGGCAGGCCUAACACAUGCAAGUCGAACGCUCCGCAAGGGGGAGUGGCGCACGGGUGAGUAACACGUGGGAACCUACCUUCUGGUACGGAACAACCAAGGGAAACUUUGGCUAAGACCGUAUACGACCUCCGGGUGAAAGAUUGAUCGCCGGAAGAGGGGCCCGCGUCCGAUUAGGUAGUUGGUGAGGUAACGGCUCACCAAGCCUUCGAUCGGUAGCUGGUCUGAGAGGAUGACCAGCCACACUGGGACUGAGACACGGCCCAGACUCCUACGGGAGGCAGCAGUGGGGAAUAUUGGACAAUGGGCGCAAG
rnacentral:rRNA from 1 species